rnacentral:misc_RNA from 1 species
GGACGACCUCAUCGCCCGCCAGCUCCGCGUCUCCCGCCAGGAGAAUCCCCACUGCUCCUCCGCCUCCUUCGACCGUGACGCCGCCAAUGCCUUCCAGGUCUACGUCAACGAAACCCUAGCGUUCUCCAUCAAGCGCGGCGGGUUCAUGUACGGCCGCGUCACUGAUGCGGCCACCGUUGCGGUCGACUUCAUCUACGAGCCGCCGCAGGCGGCCACUGAGGAUGAUCUCACCCUGCUCCGCGAUACUGAUGAGGAGGUGCUUGUUGAGGCAAUUGCCGCCGGACUUGGGAUGCGGCGGGUCGGGUUUGUGUUUAC